GGGCGCGUAGCUCAGUUGGUUAGAGCGCUUCGCUUACACCGAAGAGGUCAGGGGUUCGAGUCCCUUCGCGCCCA
rnacentral:tRNA from 1 species